UACAUCAUUGUUUAAUUAUUAAAACUACUAUAAGAUGACAGCUGAAAUAGCUCCGUGUCACUUUUUUUAUAAUCUGUCAACAUGUUCAUUUCUGAGUGAGUGAGCGUCAGCAGCACGCUGCGCUUGGGCAUUACGUCCUUACACAUUACAUACUUACCAGGCGGAAGAAAAAGUAGUUCCCAUUAACAACGUUUCAUUUAGGCAAGAUCUCAAUAAUUUAGUUACUUUCUAACUUGCUCUUGUUAAUCUACAUUAUCUCAAAUUACUAAAGUGUUGAAAGUAUUGAUCCUUGGAUCUGACAAUAGAUUUUAAAGAAUUAAGUUUUGGUAUCGGAAGAAUCGAUAUUUCAGUAUCAAUCCGCACAUCGCUAACGGCAACGCMAGAGAUCAUUUAACUGCCCUGAUUAACGGUUAAUUCAGUUGUAAMAGCCUAACUAAGCUUUUAUCUACUGUACUUUUAUAAGAUUUUCUUUUGGCAAAUUCUCUAAUCUCGGUUGGACAUGGAUGAAGAUGGAGGACUUUUUUACGUGUAUAGACCCUACAGCUGCUGUACUCAGAGUAAACCAAACUGUUGCCAUGGUGAAGCCUAUGCCAGACACAUCUCCAAUAACGUAUUGCACCAUCUACAAGAAACUUUGGGAAUUGCAAGUGGCGGCGUCCUUCACAUUCUCAAGCAGAUGACCCAACAACUUCAAACAMGACCACUUUYCAGCUCUGCGGUGAUCGUGAAACCAACUUUCUACUGGCCAUUGGAACCAUGCCUGUCCUGAUCUUCUGAAAGGAGGACAUCAUAGCUACUACACCUUUCAGCAUGUGUGUCUGUGGCCACUCCUCUCUGUACUGCUGACAGAUGUCUUGAGAACAGCGUCCGUAACUGAGGCAAGACUUCCACAUAUAAAAGGCUAUGGCUUAUUGGAAGAAGUUCAUUGUGGAGGAAGCUCCUAUUGUUGACAUCUAAUCCCAAGAUUUUUUUUUGCUUUGGACAAUUUGGUUUGCUUGACUCUUAAAGCAUCUUAUGAGUGCGGCAGUUGUAUCAGAUCUUCAUUGUUCUGUCAUUUUACAGGAUUGUUUCAGAAUCAGAUGCCCAU